GACAGAGGGUGCAAACGUUGUUCGGAAUUACUGGGCGUAAAGCGCGUGUAGGCGGCAAUACAAGUCGGAUGUGAAAUCCCGCGGCUUAACCGUGGAAGUGCACCCGAAACUGUAUCGCUAGAGUCCCGGAGAGGAUGGUGGAAUACUUGGUGUAGAGGUGAAAUUCGUAGAUAUCAAGUGGAACACCGGUGGCGAAGGCGGCUCUCUGGUCCAUGUCUGACGCUGAGGUACGAAAGCUAGGGGAGCAAACGGG
rnacentral:rRNA from 1 species